rnacentral:rRNA from 1 species
GGCUUGUUGAUUAUAAUUUCAGGUCUGACCUGCCCAAUGAGUAGUAUUAAAUGGCCGCAGUAUCUUGACUGUGCAAAGGUAGCAUAAUCAUUAGUUUUUUAAUUGAAAACUGGAAUGAAAGGUUUGAUGAGAAAAUUUCUGUCUCUGGGAAAAUUUAUUAGAAUUUUAUUUUUAAGUAAAAAAGCUUAAAUUUGUAUGGAAGACGAGAAGACCCUAUAGAGUUUUAUAUUUACAAAAAUCUUGGUUAUUAGGAAGUACAGGAGUCAGGAUUUAUAUAAGUAUUUUGUUGGGGUGAUAGAAAAAUUAAACUAACUUUUUUUCUAAGGGCUACAUUAAUGUAUGAUUGGAUGAUCUUAAAAUUUAGAUUAUAAGAUAAAAUUACCUUAGGGAUAACAGCGUAAUUUUUUUAAGAGUUCUUAUCGGAAAAAAAGAUUGCGACCUCGAUGUUGGAUUAAAAUUAAUUACUGGUGUAGAAGCUAGAUAAUUAGGUCUGUUCGACCUUUAAAAUUUUACAUGAUCUGAGUUUAAACCGGCGUGAG